rnacentral:tRNA from 1 species
GCGGAUAUGGCGAAAUUGGUAGACGCGCAGCACUAAGGAUGCUGUGGGGCAACCCUUGGGAGUUCGAGUCUCCCUAUCCGCACCA